rnacentral:rRNA from 1 species
UACAGAGGUCUCAAGCGUUGUUCGGAUUCAUUGGGCGUAAAGGGUGCGUAGGCGGCGCGGUAAGUCGGGUGUGAAAUCUCGGGGCUUAACUCCGAAACUGCAUUCGAUACUGCCGUGCUUGAGGACUGGAGAGGAGACUGGAAUUUACGGUGUAGCGGUGAAAUGCGCAGAUAUCAGGAGGAACACCGGUGGCGAAGGCGGUGGUCUGGGCCGGCACUGACGCUGAGGAGCGAAAGCGUGGGGAGCAAACAGG